UCCCUGAUGGUCUAGUGGUUAAGACUCUGAGCUUCCAACGCAAGGGAUGCAGGUUCAAACCCUGGUCAGGGAA
rnacentral:tRNA from 1 species